rnacentral:rRNA from 1 species
UACGUAGGGCGCAAGCGUUAUCCGGAAUUAUUGGGCGCAAAGAGCUCGUAGGCGGUUUGUCGCGUCUGCCGUGAAAGUCCGGGGCUCAACUCCGGAUCUGCGGUGGGUACGGGCAGACUAGAGUGAUGUAGGGGAGACUGGAAUUCCUGGUGUAGCGGUGAAAUGCGCAGAUAUCAGGAGGAACACCGAUGGCGAAGGCAGGUCUCUGGGCAUUAACUGACGCUGAGGAGCGAAAGCCAGGGGAGCAAACGGG